AUACGGAGGGUGCGAGCGUUAAUCGGAAUUACUGGGCGUAAAGGGUGCGUAGGCGGCUUGAUAAGUCGGAUGUGAAAGCCCCGGGCUUAACCUGGGAAUUGCAUUCGAUACUGGCAGGCUAGAGUAUGUCAGAGGUUGGCGGAAUUCCUGGUGUAGCGGUGAAAUGCGUAGAUAUCAGGAGGAACACCAGUGGCGAAGGCGGCUAACUGGGACAAUACUGACGCUGAGGCACGAAAGCGUGGGGAGCAAACAGGAUUAGAUACCCCAGUAGUCC
rnacentral:rRNA from 1 species